ACUCCUACGGGAGGCAGCAGUGGGGAAUAUUGGACAAUGGGGGCAACCCUGAUCCAGCAAUGCCGCGUGAGUGAUGAAGGCCUUCGGGUUGUAAAGCUCUUUUGUCAGGGACGAUAAUGACGGUACCUGACGAAUAAGCUCCGGCUAACUUCGUGCCAGCAGCCGCGGUAAUAC
rnacentral:rRNA from 1 species